GACGAACGCUGGCGGCGCGCUUAACACAUGCAAGUCGAACGGAAAGGCCUGCUUUCCCUUGUGGUUUGCGGGUACUCGAGUGGCGAACGGGUGAGUAACACGUGAGUGAUCUGCCCCCAACUUGGGUAUAAGCCUGGGAAACUGGGUCUAAUUCCCGAUAGGACUGCAGGGUGGUGCCUGUGGUGGAAAACGAUUUUCUAGUGGUUGGGGAUGAGCUCGCGGCCUAUCAGCUUGUUGGUGGGGUAAUGGCCUACCAAGGCGGCGACGGGUAGCCGGCCUGAGAGGGUGGACGGCCACAUUGGGACUGAGAUACGGCCCAGACUCCUACGGGAGGCAGCAGUGGGGAAUAUUGCACAAUGGGCGGAAGCCUGAUGCAGCGACGCCGCGUGGGGGAUGACGGCCUUCGGGUUGUAAACUCCUUUCGACCGCGAGGAAGCCACCUGGUUGGAAGGGUGGUGACGGUAGUGGUAGAAGAAGCACCGGCUAACUACGUG
rnacentral:rRNA from 1 species